GACGAACGCUGGCGGCGUGCCUAAUACAUGCAAGUCGAACGCAGUGGGGACGGGUGAGUAACACGUGGGUAACCUCCCAUCAGAGGGGACAACACUUGGAAACAGGUGCUAAACCGAUACUGAUGGAUGGACCCGCGGUGCAUUCGCUAGUUGGUGAGGUAACGGCUCCCCAAGGCCACGAUGCAUAGCCGACCUGCGGGGGGGUUCGGCAACACUGGGACGACGACACGGCCCAGACUCCUACGGGAGACAGACGGAGAGAAUCUUCGGCAAUGGACGAAAGUCUGACCGAGCAACGCCGCGUGAGUGAAGAAGGUUUUCGGAUCGUAAAACUCUGUUGUUAGAGAAGCGGUAUCUAACCAGAAAGCCACGGCUAACUACGUGCCAGCAGCCGCGGUAAUUC
rnacentral:rRNA from 1 species